AGAGUUUGAUCCUGGCUCAGAUUGAACGCUGGCGGCAGGCCUAACACAUGCAAGUCGAACGGUAGCACAGAGGAGCUUGCUCCUUGGGUGACGAGUGGCGGACGGGUGAGUAAUGUCUGGGAAACUGCCCGAUGGAGGGGGAUAACUACU
rnacentral:rRNA from 1 species